AUGAGAAUUUGUUCUACAAAGCCAAUAACUUACUUUAGUGUUAUAUGUGAUGAGGAUUUUGUUGUGCUAAAUACAAGGCAAAUGGUUAUGAGUCGAAUGGUUAUGUUCAGAGUGCUCACCUGGAGACAUGAUUGCUUCUUUAAAGGUCUUGAAAUCACACCAGCAAGGAUUAGAGCAUUUUUGCCUAAAGUUAAAUGGGAUUCAUUGCCUUCUAUGCAUAUUACUGGUCGUACUGGUGCAGGAUGUGAAUCAAAAUGA
rnacentral:lncRNA from 1 species